rnacentral:rRNA from 1 species
UACGGAGGGUGCAAGCGUUAAUCGGAAUUACUGGGCGUAAAGCGUGCGUAGGCGGUUCGUUAAGUCUGUUGUGAAAGCCCCGGGCUCAACCUGGGAAUGGCAAUGGAUACUGGCGAGCUAGAGUGUGUCAGAGGAUGGUGGAAUUCCCGGUGUAGCGGUGAAAUGCGUAGAGAUCGGGAGGAACAUCAGUGGCGAAGGCGGCCAUCUGGGACAACACUGACGCUGAGGCACGAAAGCGUGGGGAGCAA